AAGAAAGAAAGAGAGAAGAAAAAAUCACAAAAAAAGAAAUAGUAGAGAUUAUCUGUGAGCAUAUUUUUAUCAUUUUACCUUAUCUUUU
rnacentral:ribozyme from 14 species